GGUGGCCUAGUGGUUAGAGCAUCUGCCUCAGAUGCAGGAGGUCAUGGGUUCGAUCUCUGGUAAAUUUUUACCA